rnacentral:rRNA from 1 species
AUUGAACGCUGGCGGCAGGCCUAACACAUGCAAGUCGAGCGGAUGACGGGAGCUUGCUCCUUGAUUCAGCGGCGGACGGGUGAGUAAUGCCUAGGAAUCUGCCUGGUAGUGGGGGACAACGUUUCGAAAGGAACGCUAAUACCGCAUACGUCCUACGGGAGAAAGCAGGGGACCUUCGGGCCUUGCGCUAUCAGAUGAGCCUAGGUCGGAUUAGCUAGUUGGUGGGGUAAUGGCUCACCAAGGCGACGAUCCGUAACUGGUCUGAGAGGACGAUCAGUCACACUGGAACUGAGACACGGUCCAGACUCCUACGGGAGGCAGCAGUGGGGAAUAUUGGACAAUGGGCGAAAGCCUGAUCCAGCCAUGCCGCGUGUGUGAAGAAGGUCUUCGGAUUGUAAAGCACUUUAAGUUGGGAGGAAGGGCAGUAAGCUAAUACCUUGCUGUUUUGACGUUACCGACAGAAUAAGCACCGGCUAACUCUGUGCCAGCAGCCGCCGCGG